UUUUGACCCGUUUUUUCUUGUGAGCCCACACCCACAUUUUCUCCCAGGCGUGUUAUGUUCUUGUGAAAACCUUUUGCCACGCAUCAAAACCCACCGCCCCUUCCCACUUCACCAUUUUCUUCUGAUUUUCCACAGAUAAAUGACACUUUAAUCUUCACUGGCCGUUUUGUUACGAUACAUCGCAACAACAUAAAUGGUGGUUUCGCAGCGGCGAUGACAACGUCGGGAAGAAUCGACGGCGGUUUUGGGGUACCGUCUAUGGCGGCGACGCAAAGAUUCAACUUUUGUAGACGACAUUUUUUUGUAAAAGGAUUUGGAGAGUCAGCCGGCGCCUCGGGUGAUCUUGCAGUAACAACUUAACAAAGUUUAGGCUUCACUUGCAUUGAUCUUGCAGCUGCAAAUUGAUUGUGGUUUUAGGUUUGUAAUAAUUAGUUAUAGUUUUAUGUAAUAAGUUAAUGUGUGGUAAAAGAGCAUGAAAAAUAUAUUUUUGGAAAACGUGUUAUAGCAUUAGUAUACUUCAAACUUUAUUAAAGCCACUCAUAAGACGGACUGACGUUUUUAUCUAUAUUUUGAUAUUCCGUAUUGUUAAAACCCUGGGCAUAGGCUAAUUGCAGGUGACUUGACAGUAGUUGCAGAAAUAAACCCGGGGCUUAUGUAUCCUAAAGCCAUGGUAAUUCAAAAACAACAAGGUUACCAAGCCUAACCUAGGUCUUCACUUAAUCAGCCGGUAGCCCAAGUUUGCCCCAGUUUGACCCGUACAAAAAUAUCCCCUCAUACUCAAUUAUCUCACUCGCAAAAAGUAUUGAUCAGUGCUUGCGCGUUUGUUCAUGUUAUGGAAAUAUAUAUAGGAAACUAACUUUGUUCGUGUUUUGUAUUGGUUUAUUUAGUUUUUGAUGGCUUCAAUCUAUUUGAAUCUAUUUGCUUAAA